UCUCUGUUAGUAUAUCGGUUAGUACACGCGCCUGUCAUCCGAUAAGCAUCGUCCAUUGGUGCGCGCGAAAGCUGGGUUCGACUCCCAGACAGAGAG